rnacentral:lncRNA from 1 species
UGAUUUGUUGGUGCAUGAUGUUGUUUUGUCCUUUGCAAGCUGACCUUCAGUGUGUGGGGUCAGAGACACAAGAAUUGCCUAUCUCAAACUUGACAUUGAAUCAGAAAAGAAUGGAGCUGUCCUGGCAAAGCAGCAAGAACUUCUCCAGUUACAAGUGUACCAUGGCUGCAAACUUCAAAUACAGAGAAAUAAAGAUUAUCCUCAAUUUGUAAAGAAGAAAGUUAGUUCUUGAGCAUAAAACAUCCACAGACAUUUGAGGCAUUGGAACAGGCUGCCCGGGAAGGUGGUGGAGUCACUGUCCCUGGAGGUGUUGAAGAACCGUGUGGAUGUGGCACUGAGGGAUGUGGUCAGUGAGAUGGUGGGGAUGGGUUGGGUUUGGGCUUGAUGAUCUAAGAAGUCUUUCCAACCUUAAUCAUUCUAUGAUUCUACCUAUACACACUAAAUUUUGGCAACAGGACUUAUUGCUGACUGGUCCUUUCAGAUCAAGCACUAUCUAAA